CACGUAGGGUGCGAGCGUUGUCCGGAAUUAUUGGGCGUAAAGAGCUCGUAGGCGGUGUGUCGCGUCGGCCGUGAAAACCUGCAGCUUAACUGUGGGCUUGCGGUCGAUACGGGCAUCACUGGAGUUCGGCAGGGGAGACUGGAAUUCCUGGUGUAGCGGUGAAAUGCGCAGAUAUCAGGAGGAACACCGGUGGCGAAGGCGGGUCUCUGGGCCGGAACUGACGCUGAGGAGCGAAAGCGUGGGGAGCAAACAGG
rnacentral:rRNA from 1 species